UCGAAAUCACCGAUGAUGCACCAGACAACACCCAAAGCCGACCAUCUCGCCAGCCUCCCACUCCGCCAGCCAUUCUGCCAGCCGUGCCCACACCCCCACUCUGUACACAACCAAGCACCUCGAACCAGAUACAGCAACAACAACCGGAAUCACCCUGCCUCCAACCUACUGCAAGUUCCAUCGACGUCAAUGAGCACCAAACAUCAGCAGAUCCAAACCGCAGCAUCAAUGAUCCCUCCAGAAGCACCGAAACCAUAACAGAACAACCUGAAACAACAAAAAUCGAUAAAAUUUAUAGAGCCAUACCAUAUAUACCUGCACUUUCUCAGCGAAUUACUAAAAUUUUGGCUAGGGACUAUUCCAAUAUAGCAAUCGCAACAAAACAGACCCGUGUGAUCAAAAAUCUUCACACACAGGUAAAGCACCCGGUAAAUAAAGAUGAUAUUAGCAAUGUCAUCUACAAAAUACCGUGCAACAACUGCGAUAGUUGCUAUAUUGGAAUGACCACAAACACUUUAAGGAAACGAUUAGCAGGCCACCGAUCCAAUAUAAACAGAUUAGAAAAACUGACCAAUGACAACAAUACUAACACAGAAAUAGCCAAAACAUCACUGAUAGAAACAACAACAGCACUAAUACAGCAUUGUAUAGAGACAGAUCACAGAUUCAAUCUAGAACACACACAAAUAAUAGACCAUAGCUACAGACAGUCCACACUCCCAUUUUUAGAGAUGUGUCACAUCACCAACACUAACCAUACAAUCAAUAGACGUACCGAUAUAGACAGACUCAGUACAACAUACGCAGCAGUGUUGCACGACAUUAAAAGUAGGAAUGAGCGAAACGAAACCACUACGGGAGAUAGCAUAGAUGAGAGGGAAUCAAUUACUCCAAUAGGGCACAGUAACCAGUCCAUAAGUUGAGAUAAAGAAGGACUGAAAGACAGAAAGAUUGCGCCAUUGCCAGUUAAAGUUGUGCGGUGAGAAAAGUGGAAGAUUUUAAAGUCAUGUACCGUAUAUCAUCAAACCCGACAGUUACAGUUAGACCAAACAUUAGACAAAUAACGACACUAGUAUUUACCCCCUGAGGAAGACACCCACCAAGUGUCGAAACGUUGGGUUAAUAUAUAACGUCGUUGGUUUAAUAAAGACUGCGUAGCCGAAAAACUAUAAAAUAU